rnacentral:lncRNA from 1 species
GUGAGUCUAGCUUUAUGGGUCGGUCCAAAGAAUUUGUAAUUAAAACUAGAGUGAGCUCAAUUAAAAAAUGUAGCUCUGAAAAAAUUCAUGCCCAAAUUGAUGGGCUUAUUGAUCCAGUAAAAUUUUGGCCCAAAAACAACUGAGCCUAUUUGGUGCAAAAUGAUGCAGCAUUAAUGGUGACAUUUUAUUUAUUUCAAAAGUUAUUCAUAUAACUAAUAUAUAUACACAAACACACAAAGCUGCAUGCGUAGAUCAGAUCAUGCAGAGAACUAAAGUGGCGCCGCGUCAUUUUUCCACUCCCAGUCUCGAUCGAUCAGCUAUCCUAAGAGUGAAGGCAGGACAAUUAAUUAAUAUCAAACAUUGCCUUAUUUACAAUCUUAACGUAGAAAAUUACAAAAUAUAUAUAUAUGUCCAGAAACUUAAUUAGCACCUUCUCAUCGAUCUUUAAAUUUUCAAAUAGUGAAAAUGAAAGAUGGAAGCACGUAAAUUAAUCAAUAUUAGUCAUGUGAUGAAUAAUAAUAAAAGAAGAAAUUAAUUAAGAAACUGGUGUAGCAUAUGAUCGCCUUCCUCCUCCCAUUCUCAUCAUCAUCUGCAUGCAUGCAUAGGUUAAUUAUCAUGUACGUAAAAAUGGGAAAGGUACCUCUGCCCCUGAA